CCCUUAGACGUUCUGGGCCGCACGCGCGCUACACUGACCAGUGCAACAAGCAUCCGUCCUUGGCCGACAGGCCCGGGCAAUCUUUGAACGCUGGUCGUGAUGGGGAUAGACUUUUGCAAUUUUUGGUCUUCAACGAGGAAUUCCUAGUAAACGCAAGUCAUCAACUUGCAUUGAUUACGUCCCUGACCUUUGUACACACCGCCCGUCGCACCUACCGAUUGAAUGGUCCGGUGAAGCCUCCGGAUUGGCGCGCACCUCGGUGCCGCCGAGAAGUUGGCUAAACCUUACCAUUUAGAGGAAGGUGAAGUCGUAACA
rnacentral:rRNA from 1 species